UACGUAGGGGGCUAGCGUUGUCCGGAAUCAUUGGGCGUAAAGAGCGCGUAGGCGGCCAGAUAAGUCCGGUGUGAAAGUCAAAGGCUCAACCUUUGAAUGCCGCUGGAAACUGUCUGGCUAGAGUCCGGGAGGGGCGAGUGGAAUUCCCAGUGUAGAGGUGAAAUUCGUAGAUAUUGGGAAGAACACCAGUGGCGAAGGCGGCUCACUGGCCCGUAACUGACGCUGAGGUGCGAAAGCGUGGGGAGCAAACAGG
rnacentral:rRNA from 1 species